GGGUUGUGAGGUUAAGCGACUAAGCGUACACGGUGGAUGCCCUGGCAGUCAGAGGCGAUGAAGGACGUGCUAAUCUGCGAUAAGCGUCGGUAAGGUGAUAUGAACCGUUAUAACCGGCGAUUUCCGAAUGGGGAAACCCAGUGUGUUUCGACACACUAUCAUUAACUGAAUCCAUAGGUUAAUGAGGCGAACCGGGGGAACUGAAACAUCUAAGUACCCCGAGGAAAAGAAAUCAACCGAGAUUCCCCCAGUAGCGGCGAGCGAACGGGGAGCAGCCCAGAGCCUGAAUCAGUGUGUGUGUUAGUGGAAGCGUCUGGAAAGGCGCGCGAUACAGGGUGACAGCCCCGUACACAAAAAUGCACAUGCUGUGAGCUCGAUGAGUAGGGCGGGACACGUGGUAUCCUGUCUGAAUAUGGGGGGACCAUCCUCCAAGGCUAAAUACUCCUGACUGACCGAUAGUGAACCAGUACCGUGAGGGAAAGGCGAAAAGAACCCCGGCGAGGGGAGUGAAAAAGAACCUGAAACCGUGUACGUACAAGCAGUGGGAGCACGCUUAGGCGUGUGACUGCGUACCUUUUGUAUAAUGGGUCAGCGACUUAUAUUCUGUAGCAAGGUUAACCGAAUAGGGGAGCCGAAGGGAAACCGAGUCUUAACUGGGCGUUAAGUUGCAGGGUAUAGACCCGAAACCCGGUGAUCUAGCCAUGGGCAGGUUGAAGGUUGGGUAACACUAACUGGAGGACCGAACCGACUAAUGUUGAAAAAUUAGCGGAUGACUUGUGGCUGGGGGUGAAAGGCCAAUCAAACCGGGAGAUAGCUGGUUCUCCCCGAAAGCUAUUUAGGUAGCGCCUCGUGAAUUCAUCUCCGGGGGUAGAGCACUGUUUCGGCAAGGGGGUCAUCCCGACUUACCAACCCGAUGCAAACUGCGAAUACCGGAGAAUGUUAUCACGGGAGACACACGGCGGGUGCUAACGUCCGUCGUGAAGAGGGAAACAACCCAGACCGCCAGCUAAGGUCCCAAAGUCAUGGUUAAGUGGGAAACGAUGUGGGAAGGCCCAGACAGCCAGGAUGUUGGCUUAGAAGCAGCCAUCAUUUAAAGAAAGCGUAAUAGCUCACUGGUCGAGUCGGCCUGCGCGGAAGAUGUAACGGGGCUAAACCAUGCACCGAAGCUGCGGCAGCGACGCUGAUGCGUUGUUGGGUAGGGGAGCGUUCUGUAAGCCUGCGAAGGUGUGCUGUGAGGCAUGCUGGAGGUAUCAGAAGUGCGAAUGCUGACAUAAGUAACGAUAAAGCGGGUGAAAAGCCCGCUCGCCGGAAGACCAAGGGUUCCUGUCCAACGUUAAUCGGGGCAGGGUGAGUCGACCCCUAAGGCGAGGCCGAAAGGCGUAGUCGAUGGGAAACAGGUUAAUAUUCCUGUACUUGGUGUUACUGCGAAGGGGGGACGGAGAAGGCUAUGUUGGCCGGGCGACGGUUGUCCCGGUUUAAGCGUGUAGGCUGGUUUUCCAGGCAAAUCCGGAAAAUCAAGGCUGAGGCGUGAUGACGAGGCACUACGGUGCUGAAGCAACAAAUGCCCUGCUUCCAGGAAAAGCCUCUAAGCAUCAGGUAACAUCAAAUCGUACCCCAAACCGACACAGGUGGUCAGGUAGAGAAUACCAAGGCGCUUGAGAGAACUCGGGUGAAGGAACUAGGCAAAAUGGUGCCGUAACUUCGGGAGAAGGCACGCUGAUAUGUAGGUGAAGUCCCUCGCGGAUGGAGCUGAAAUCAGUCGAAGAUACCAGCUGGCUGCAACUGUUUAUUAAAAACACAGCACUGUGCAAACACGAAAGUGGACGUAUACGGUGUGACGCCUGCCCGGUGCCGGAAGGUUAAUUGAUGGGGUUAGCCGCAAGGCGAAGCUCUUGAUCGAAGCCCCGGUAAACGGCGGCCGUAACUAUAACGGUCCUAAGGUAGCGAAAUUCCUUGUCGGGUAAGUUCCGACCUGCACGAAUGGCGUAAUGAUGGCCAGGCUGUCUCCACCCGAGACUCAGUGAAAUUGAACUCGCUGUGAAGAUGCAGUGUACCCGCGGCAAGACGGAAAGACCCCGUGAACCUUUACUAUAGCUUGACACUGAACAUUGAGCCUUGAUGUGUAGGAUAGGUGGGAGGCUUUGAAGUGUGGACGCCAGUCUGCAUGGAGCCGACCUUGAAAUACCACCCUUUAAUGUUUGAUGUUCUAACGUUGACCCGUAAUCCGGGUUGCGGACAGUGUCUGGUGGGUAGUUUGACUGGGGCGGUCUCCUCCUAAAGAGUAACGGAGGAGCACGAAGGUUGGCUAAUCCUGGUCGGACAUCAGGAGGUUAGUGCAAUGGCAUAAGCCAGCUUGACUGCGAGCGUGACGGCGCGAGCAGGUGCGAAAGCAGGUCAUAGUGAUCCGGUGGUUCUGAAUGGAAGGGCCAUCGCUCAACGGAUAAAAGGUACUCCGGGGAUAACAGGCUGAUACCGCCCAAGAGUUCAUAUCGACGGCGGUGUUUGGCACCUCGAUGUCGGCUCAUCACAUCCUGGGGCUGAAGUAGGUCCCAAGGGUAUGGCUGUUCGCCAUUUAAAGUGGUACGCGAGCUGGGUUUAGAACGUCGUGAGACAGUUCGGUCCCUAUCUGCCGUGGGCGCUGGAGAACUGAGGGGGGCUGCUCCUAGUACGAGAGGACCGGAGUGGACGCAUCACUGGUGUUCGGGUUGUCAUGCCAAUGGCACUGCCCGGUAGCUAAAUGCGGAAGAGAUAAGUGCUGAAAGCAUCUAAGCACGAAACUUGCCCCGAGAUGAGUUCUCCCUGACUCCUUGAGAGUCCUGAAGGAACGUUGAAGACGACGACGUUGAUAGGCCGGGUGUGUAAGCGCAGCGAUGCGUUGAGCUAACCGGUACUAAUGAACCGUGAGGCUUAACCUUACAACGCCGAAG
rnacentral:rRNA from 3 species